UACGUAGGGUGCAGGCGUUAAUCGGAAUUACUGGGCGUAAAGCGUGCGCAGGCGGUCUGCUAAGAGAGAUGUGAAAUCCCCGGGCUUAACCUGGGAACUGCGUUUCUAACUGGCAGGCUUGAGUGUGGCAGAGGGGGGUGGAAUUCCACGUGUAGCAGUGAAAUGCGUAGAUAUUAGGAAGAACACCAGUGGCGAAGGCGGCUCACUGGCCCGGAACUGACGCUCAUGAGCGAAAGCGUGGGGAGCAAACAGG
rnacentral:rRNA from 1 species